rnacentral:rRNA from 1 species
CUGCGAAUGGCUCAUUAUAUAAGUUAUCGUUUAUUUGAUAGUGCCUUACUACUUGGAUAACCGUGGUAAUUCUAGAGCUAAUACAUGCUACAAGCCUCGACUUCGGAAGGGGCGUAUUUAUUAGAUUAAAAACCAAUGCCCUCUGGGCUCUUUGGUGAAUCAUGAUAACUUCACGAAUCGCACGGCCUUGCGCCGGCGAUGGCUCAUUCAAAUUUCUUCCCUAUCAACUUUCGAUGUUUGGGUAUUGGCCAAACAUGGUUGCAACGGGUAACGGAGGGUUAGGGCUCGACCCCGGAGAAGGAGCCUGAGAAACGGCUACUACAUCCAAGGAAGGCAGCAGGCGCGCAAAUUACCCAAUCCCGAUUCGGGGAGGUAGUGACAAUAAAUACUGAUACAGGGCUCUUUCGGGUCUUGUAAUCGGAAUGAGUACAAUUUAAAUCCCUUAACGAGGAACAAUUGGAGGGCAAGUCUGGUGCCAGCAGCCGCGGUAAUUCCAGCUCCAAUAGCGUAUAUUAAAGUUGUUGUGGUUAAAAAGCUCGUAGUUGAACCUUGGGCCUGGCUGGCCGGUCCGCCUCACCGCGUGUACUGGUCCGGCCGGGCCUUUCCCUCUGUGGAACCUCAUGCCCUUCACUGGGUGUGCUGGGGAAACAGGACUUUUACUUUGAAAAAAUUAGAGUGCUCCAGGCAGGCCUAUGCUCGAAUACAUUAGCAUGGAAUAAUGAAAUAGGACGUGCGGUUCUAUUUUGUUGGUUUCUAGGACCGCCGUAAUGAUUAAUAGGGACAGUCGGGGGCAUCAGUAUUCAAUUGUCAGAGGUGAAAUUCUUGGAUUUAUUGAAGACUAACUACUGCGAAAGCAUUUGCCAAGGAUGUUUUCAUUAAUCAGGAACGAAAGUUAGGGGAUCGAAAACGAUCAGAUACCGUUGUAGUCUUAACCAUAAACUAUGCCGACUAGGGAUCGGACGAUGUUAUUUUUUGACUCGUUCGGCACCUUACGAGAACUCAAAGUGC